UCAUGCUCAGAUUGAACGCUGGCGGCAUGCCUUACACAUGCAAGUCGAACGGCAGCACGGGUGCUUGCACCUGGUGGCGAGUGGCGAACGGGUGAGUAAUACAUCGGAACAUGUCCUGUAGUGGGGGAUAGCCCGGCGAAAGCCGGAUUAAUACCGCAUACGAUCUAUGGAUGAAAGCGGGGGACUUCGGGCCUCGCGCUAUAGGGUUGGCCGAUGGCUGAUUAGCUAGUUGGUGGGGUAAAGGCCUACCAAGGCGACGAUCAGUAGCUGGUCUGAGAGGACGACCAGCCACACUGGGACUGAGACACGGCCCAGACUCCUACGGGAGGCAGCAGUGGGGAAUUUUGGACAAUGGGCGAAAGCCUGAUCCAGCAAUGCCGCGUGUGUGAAGAAGGCCUUCGGGUUGUAAAGCACUUUUGUCCGGAAAGAAAUCCUUGGCUCUAAUACAGUCGGGGGAUGACGGUACCGGAAGAAUAAGCACCGGCUAACUACGUGCCAGCAGCCGCGGUAAUACGUAGGGUGCAAGCGUUAAUCGGAAUUACUGGGCGUAAAGCGUGCGCAGGCGGUUUGCUAAGACCGAUGUGAAAUCCCCGGGCUCAACCUGGGAACUGCAUUGGUGACUGGCAGGCUAGAGUAUGGCAGAGGGGGGUAGAAUUCCACGUGUAGCAGUGAAAUGCGUAGAGAUGUGGAGGAAUACCGAUGGCGAAGGCAGCCCCCUGGGCCAAUACUGACGCUCAUGCACGAAAGCGUGGGGAGCAAACAGGAUUAGAUACCCUGGUAGUCCACGCCCUAAACGAUGUCAACUAGUUGUUGGGGAUUCAUUUCCUUAGUAACGUAGCUAACGCGUGAAGUUGACCGCCUGGGGAGUACGGUCGCAAGAUUAAAACUCAAAGGAAUUGACGGGGACCCGCACAAGCGUUGGAUGAUGUGGAUUAAUUCGAUGCAACGCGAAAAACCUUACCUACCCUUGACAUGGUCGGAAUCCUGAAGAGAUUCGGGAGUGCUCGAAAGAGAACCGGCGCACAGGUGCUGCAUGGCUGUCGUCAGCUCGUGUCGUGAGAUG
rnacentral:rRNA from 1 species